CACGACUGAAUCGACCCCGACAACCUCAACUUCAACCUCAAAAACUACUAAAACUUCAACUACAACCAUGACAUCAACAACAACUUCUUCAACUACAACCAUGAAAUCAACAACAACAACAACUUCUUCAACUACAACCACGAAAUCAACAACAACUACCACAACUACGCCUCCAUGUCUACCAUACACGUGUGUGACACAGCCUUCGUUACUUGAUGCUAACAACUACAUUAACACAUCUGUCGGAGCCACCAUUGGAGGAGCUUUGCGUAACGCCUGUGACUCCUUGUACUUUUUCAGUGACGCUGCAGUA